rnacentral:rRNA from 1 species
AUUGAACGCUGGCGGCAGGCUUAACACAUGCAAGUCGAGCGGUAACAGGGGGUGCUUGCACCCCGCUGACGAGCGGCGGACGGGUGAGUAAUGCUUAGGAAUCUGCCCAGUAGUGGGGGAUAGCCCGGGGAAACCCGGAUUAAUACCGCAUACGUCCUACGGGAGAAAGCAGGGGAUCUUCGGACCUUGCGCUAUUGGAUGAGCCUAAGUCGGAUUAGCUAGUUGGUGGGGUAAAGGCCUACCAAGGCGACGAUCCGUAGCUGGUUUGAGAGGAUGAUCAGCCACAUCGGGACUGAGACACGGCCCGAACUCCUACGGGAGGCAGCAGUGGGGAAUAUUGGACAAUGGGGGCAACCCUGAUCCAGCCAUGCCGCGUGUGUGAAGAAGGCUUUCGGGUUGUAAAGCACUUUCAGUAAGGAGGAAAACCUUACGAUUAAUACUCGUGAGGCUUGACGUUACUUACAGAAGAAGCACCGGCUAACUCCGUGCCAGCAGCCGCGGUAAUACGGAGGGUGCAAGCGUUAAUCGGAAUUACUGGGCGUAAAGCGCGCGUAGGUGGUUCGAUAAGCGGGAUGUGAAAGCCCCGGGCUUAACCUGGGAACGGCAUUCCGAACUGUCGGGCUAGAGUAUGGUAGAGGGUAGUGGAAUUUCCUGUGUAGCGGUG